GACGAACGCUGGCGGCGUGCUUAACACAUGCAAGUCGAACGAUGAAGCUGGAGCUUGCUCUGGUGGAUUAGUGGCGAACGGGUGAGUAACACGUGAGUAACCUGCCCUGGACUCUGGGAUAACCCCGAGAAAUCGGAGCUAAUACCGGAUAGGACCUCGGAUCGCAUGAUCUGGGGUGGAAAGUUUUUCGGUCUGGGAUAGACUCGCGGCCUAUCAGCUUGUUGGUGAGGUAAUGGCUCACCAAGGCGUCGACGGGUAGCCGGCCUGAGAGGGUGACCGGCCACACUGGGACUGAGACACGGCCCAGACUCCUACGGGAGGCAGCAGUGGGGAAUAUUGCACAAUGGGCGCAAGCCUGAUGCAGCAACGCCGCGUGCGGGAUGACGGCCUUCGGGUUGUAAACCGCUUUUAGUAAGGAAGAAGCCGCAAGGUGACGGUACUUGCAGAAAAAGGACCGGCUAACUAUGUGCCAGCAGCCGCGGUAACAC
rnacentral:rRNA from 1 species